CAGCCGCGGUAAUACGUAGGGUGCGAGCGUUAAUCGGAAUUACUGGGCGUAAAGCGUGCGCAGGCGGUUUGUUAAGACAGAUGUGAAAUCCCCGGGCUUAACCUGGGAACUGCAUUUGUGACUGGCCGGCUAGAGUAUGGCAGAGGGAGGUGGAAUUCCACGUGUAGCAGUGAAAUGCGUAGAUAUGUGGAGGAACACCGAUGGCGAAGGCAGCCUCCUGGGCCAAUACUGACGCUCAUGCACGAAAGCGUGGGGAGCAAACAGGAUUAGAUACCCCUGUAGUCCCUGUCUCUUAUACACA
rnacentral:rRNA from 1 species